UGCCAGCCGCCGCGGUAAUACGGAGGGUCCAAGCGUUAUCCGGAUUUAUUGGGUUUAAAGGGUUCGUAGGCGGGAUAUUAAGUCAGUGGUGAAAUCCUACAGCUUAACUGUAGAACUGCCAUUGAUACUGAUAUUCUUGAAUUCACCUGAAGUAGGCGGAACAUGACAUGUAGCGGUGAAAUGCUUAGAUAUGUCAUAGAACACCGAUUGCGAAGGCAGCUUACUAAAGUGAUAUUGACGCUAAGGAACGAAAGCGUGGGGAGCGAACAGGAUUAGAUA
rnacentral:rRNA from 1 species